rnacentral:tRNA from 1 species
CCGGAAUAGCUCAGUUGGUAGAGCAGAGGACUUAAAAUCCUCGUGUC